GUCACACAACUGUCAUACUCAAGAAAUAGAGUAUCCCCUCCUCCUACUAGACGAUCUUGACUUCCUCCCAGUCCCAGGCUUAUGUUGAUUACCAUUCGCCGGACCCGAAAACAUUCCGAAUUUCUUCGAAAUCAAAGUCAAAAACGUCUUCCCGUUCCCAGACUUAUCCAUCAUCCCUUGCUUCAUGCAAACUUGUUCUUUCUCCAGGUCACUUAGCCUUACUCGCAUUCUCGAAAUCUCCAACUUCAGAUCGCGGUUCUCUCUUCUCAGAGACGCGUAUGUGUCACGUGGAGACAUGGGUGCACUCGGUGCACCGCUGCUGCAGAUCUUUUGUGACAUGUAGCCGGACAGAGCUGAAGGUCCGGUCAUGGUGAUGGCGGACUUUAGACGAAGCUGUUCAUAGUAGAGCACCCGAAUAGCCAUGUGGGCUGGGAGACGGUCGUUUUGUGCUGCAUGGUUACAUGCUUCUUGAGAUAGCUUUUCACAGUCUAUGAACUUGCAAAUUUUCUUGCGCACGUGUUCUGUCAGCAUUGGAUUUACCUUCAGAUAGAUAUCGACAGCUCUAUAAAGUCCAUCAUCGAUAACCCGAGCAUAAUCAGGCAGUACUUCAAUCAUAGCAAUAAACUUCUGAAAACUCAAGUACGGAUCAGGAGCAAUUUCCGCUAGAUAUGCAUCAACAAGCCGUCCAACUUUUAACAACGAACUGUGGCUAGGAGAACCCAUAUCGCCUUCUGAUUCAUACCCGCAAUCUUCUUCAUCUUCCUGCUCGAUUAUUUGGAGGA
rnacentral:lncRNA from 1 species